AACGGCCAUACCGUGCUGAAUAUACCGGUUCUCGUUAGAUCAGCAAGUCAAGCAUCAUUGGGCGCGUUCAGUACCGAGGGUGACCACCUGGGAACACC
rnacentral:rRNA from 1 species